rnacentral:rRNA from 1 species
AUUGAACGCUGGCGGCAUGCUUUACACAUGCAAGUCGAACGGCAGCGCGGGCUUCGGCCUUGCGGCGAGUGGCGAACGGGUGAGUAAUACAUCGGAACGUGCCCAGUAGUGGGGGAUAGCUCGGCGAAAGCCGGAUUAAUACCGCAUACGACCUGAGGGUGAAAGCGGGGGAUCUUCGGACCUCGCGCUAUUGGAGCGGCCGAUGGCAGAUUAGCUAGUUGGUGGGGUAAAGGCCUACCAAGGCGACGAUCUGUAGCUGGUCUGAGAGGACGACCAGCCACACUGGGACUGAGACACGGCCCAGACUCCUACGGGAGGCAGCAGUGGGGAAUUUUGGACAAAGGGCGAAAGCGUGAUCCAGCAAUGCCGCGUGUGUGAUGAAGGCCUUCGGGUUGUAAAGCACUUUUGGCGGGAACGAAAAGGACUGUGCCAAUACCACGGUUCGAUGACGGUACCCGCAGAAUAAGCACCGGCUAAAUACGUG